CAGGCUUGCUCGCAUAGCCAAAACGGGUCAAAAUUUUAAUUAUCUUAGCAACCGCAAACGCUGCCGUUUGGAGUUAACCAUAAAACCAGAAAUUUCCUCCGUUUUCUACUGCUUAGUUUCUCUCACUUUAUUUUUGGUUCUUCGCUCUUCUCUCUAGAAGUCACCAGACAAUCCAAAAUUGGGCAACCCACUUCUAUUUCCAUCAUCGACCGUCGGCGUUCACCGACUUGGUUCGGGUGUGGAAAGGAGUAUUGGUCUCAAUUGCUUAUGUUGGCUUGCUGUGACGGAGACUUGGGACCGCUUGUUGCCUAAAUUUGCUUCAAUGUUUACCUUCUGCUUGGUAGGUCUGUUUCGACUGCUAGAAAUUGCUUAGACUCGUUUGACCGAUUCUUUGCUGCAAUUGUUUUGCUACUAGAAAUUGCUUUUGGAGACUGAGAUCAUAUUGUUUAUAGCCUGAAGAAAUUGAGCCUAUUGCUUACUGUUGAUGUCUUGUUAAUUGCUCGAUUGCUUGAAUGUCUCCGUGACUGCUUUUUCAAUUACUGCUGGAUUACUUCUUAGUUGAUAUUUCAUUAAUAUUUUUGGGAGCAUAAACAUAAUAGAAAAUUUAUAUUUAUAUUUUAA